rnacentral:rRNA from 1 species
GACAGAGGUCCCGAGCGUUAGGCGGAAUCACUGGGCUUAAAGCGUGUGUAGGCGGAGUGCUAAGUACCUUGUGAAAGCCCCCGGCUCAACCGGGGAAGGGGAUCCGAAACGCCCCGUCUGGAGGGACGUAGGGGGGCCUGGAACUUCCGGUGGAGCGGUGAAAUGCGUUGAGAUCGGAAGGAACGCCCGUGGCGAAAGCGAGGCCCUGGACGUCUGCUGACGCUGAGACGCGAAAGCUAGGGGAGCGAACGGG